rnacentral:rRNA from 1 species
GGGUUGUGAGGUUAAGCGACUAAGCGUACACGGUGGAUGCCCUGGCAGUCAGAGGCGAUGAAGGACGUGCUAAUCUGCGAAAAGCGUCGGUAAGGUGAUAUGAACCGUUAUAACCGGCGAUGUCCGAAUGGGGAAACCCAGUGUGAUUCGUCACACUAUCGUUAACUGAAUACAUAGGUUAACGAGGCGAACCGGGGGAACUGAAACAUCUAAGUACCCCGAGGAAAAGAAAUCAACCGAGAUUCCCCCAGUAGCGGCGAGCGAACGGGGAGCAGCCCAGAGUCUGAAUCAGCUUGUGUGUUAGUGGAACGGUCUGGAAAGUCCGACGGUACAGGGUGAUAGUCCCGUACACCAAAAUGCACAGGCUGUGAACUCGAAGAGUAGGGCGGGACACGUGGUAUCCUGUCUGAAUAUGGGGGGACCAUCCUCCAAGGCUAAAUACUCCUGACUGACCGAUAGUGAACCAGUACCGUGAGGGAAAGGCGAAAAGAACCCCGGCGAGGGGAGUGAAAAAGAACCUGAAACCGUGUACGUACAAGCAGUGGGAGCACCUUCGGGUGUGACUGCGUACCUUUUGUAUAAUGGGUCAGCGACUUAUAUUCUGUAGCAAGGUUAACCGUAUAGGGGAGCCGCAGGGAAACCGAGUCUUAACUGGGCGUUAAGUUGCAGGGUAUAGACCCGAAACCCGGUGAUCUAGCCAUGGGCAGGUUGAAGGUUGGGUAACACUAACUGGAGGACCGAACCGACUAAUGUUGAAAAAUUAGCGGAUGACUUGUGGCUGGGGGUGAAAGGCCAAUCAAACCGGGAGAUAGCUGGUUCUCCCCGAAAGCUAUUUAGGUAGCGCCUCGUGAACUCAUCUUCGGGGGUAGAGCACUGUUUCGGCUAGGGGGUCAUCCCGACUUACCAACCCGAUGCAAACUACGAAUACCGAAGAAUGUUAUCACGGGAGACACACGGCGGGUGCUAACGUCCGUCGUGAAGAGGGAAACAACCCAGACCGCCAGCUAAGGUCCCAAAGUCAUGGUUAAGUGGGAAACGAUGUGGGAAGGCACAGACAGCCAGGAUGUUGGCUUAGAAGCAGCCAUCAUUUAAAGAAAGCGUAAUAGCUCACUGGUCGAGUCGGCCUGCGCGGAAGAUGUAACGGGGCUAAACCAUGCACCGAAGCUGCGGCAGCGACACUAUGUGUUGUUGGGUAGGGGAGCGUUCUGUAAGCCUGCGAAGGUGACCUGUGAGGGUUGCUGGAGGUAUCAGAAGUGCGAAUGCUGACAUAAGUAACGAUAAAGCGGGUGAAAAGCCCGCUCGCCGGAAGACCAAGGGUUCCUGUCCAACGUUAAUCGGGGCAGGGUGAGUCGACCCCUAAGGCGAGGCCGAAAGGCGUAGUCGAUGGGAAACAGGUUAAUAUUCCUGUACUUGGUGUUACUGCGAAGGGGGGACGGAGAAGGCUAUGUUAGCCGGGCGACGGUUGUCCCGGUUUAAGCAUGUAGGCUGGUUGUCCAGGCAAAUCCGGAUAAUCAAGGCUGAGGUGUGAUGACGAGGCACUACGGUGCUGAAGUAACAAAUGCCCUGCUUCCAGGAAAAGCCUCUAAGCAUCAGGUAACAUUAAAUCGUACCCCAAACCGACACAGGUGGUCAGGUAGAGAAUACCAAGGCGCUUGAGAGAACUCGGGUGAAGGAACUAGGCAAAAUGGUGCCGUAACUUCGGGAGAAGGCACGCUGGUGUGUAGGUGAAGUCCCUGCGGAUGGAGCUGAGACCAGUCGAAGAUACCAGCUGGCUGCAACUGUUUAUUAAAAACACAGCACUGUGCAAACACGAAAGUGGACGUAUACGGUGUGACGCCUGCCCGGUGCCGGAAGGUUAAUUGAUGGGGUUAUCCGUAAGGAGAAGCUCUUGAUCGAAGCCCCGGUAAACGGCGGCCGUAACUAUAACGGUCCUAAGGUAGCGAAAUUCCUUGUCGGGUAAGUUCCGACCUGCACGAAUGGCGUAAUGAUGGCCAGGCUGUCUCCACCCGAGACUCAGUGAAAUUGAACUCGCUGUGAAGAUGCAGUGUACCCGCGGCAAGACGGAAAGACCCCGUGAACCUUUACUAUAGCUUGACACUGAACAUUGAGCCUUGAUGUGUAGGAUAGGUGGGAGGCUUUGAAGCGUGGACGCCAGUCUGCGUGGAGCCAACCUUGAAAUACCACCCUUUAAUGUUUGAUGUUCUAACGUUGGCCCCUUACCGGGGUUGCGGACAGUGUCUGGUGGGUAGUUUGACUGGGGCGGUCUCCUCCCAAAGCGUAACGGAGGAGCACGAAGGUUAGCUAAUCCUGGUCGGACAUCAGGAGGUUAGUGCAAUGGCAUAAGCUAGCUUGACUGCGAGCGUGACGGCGCGAGCAGGUGCGAAAGCAGGUCAUAGUGAUCCGGUGGUUCUGAAUGGAAGGGCCAUCGCUCAACGGAUAAAAGGUACUCCGGGGAUAACAGGCUGAUACCGCCCAAGAGUUCAUAUCGACGGCGGUGUUUGGCACCUCGAUGUCGGCUCAUCACAUCCUGGGGCUGAAGUAGGUCCCAAGGGUAUGGCUGUUCGCCAUUUAAAGUGGUACGCGAGCUGGGUUUAGAACGUCGUGAGACAGUUCGGUCCCUAUCUGCCGUGGGCGCUGGAGAAUUGAGGGGGGCUGCUCCUAGUACGAGAGGACCGGAGUGGACGCAUCACUGGUGUUCGGGUUGUCAUGCCAAUGGCACUGCCCGGUAGCUAAAUGCGGAAGAGAUAAGUGCUGAAAGCAUCUAAGCACGAAACUUGCCCCGAGAUGAGUUCUCCCUGAGACUUUAAGUCUCCUGAAGGAACGUUGAAGACGACGACGUUGAUAGGCCGGGUGUGUAAGCGCAGCGAUGCGUUGAGCUAACCGGUACUAAUGAACCGUGAGGCUUAACCUUACAACGCCGAAG